AAAUACUACAUUUUCAGUGCUGCAGAUGUGGCCAUGAUGUUCGGCAUACGGUCUGGCAACAGAGAUGUGUUCGGUCCGGAUGGUAACAUCAAUGAGGCGGCAAGCGCGGCGGUCCUUUCUAUGUGAACAGAAUGCACAAGCAACCCGCCAUGUCACCACUGCGCGCCAUAACAUACACACCGACAUGAUCAACUUCACAGACAAGCUGAUGGCAACACUUUGCAUCCAAGUGCACAUGCUGUGUUGCGAGGGCUUACUCUGAUUGUCCCUCUGAAAAUGAUAGAUAACAAUGCAACAUCUACCGAACCUCACCCAGCUAAUCCACCCAGUUCUACUCUACAAGCCAUUGUACCGAACCCCAGUUUCUAGCAAAAUCCAUGGCGUGAGGCUUGAAAUUGUCUGAUUGUGAAGGAGAGCGCUCUUCUAAUAAACAUAAACCGGCUAAAUGGAUGAGGCAAUCCGGCUCCACUUCCCGCCCUCAGGAAACCAAGGCCUCCAAAAGCCCUAGCAAGGAAUCUGUAAGUGAUGCUCGGAUAACUGAAUCAAUUUGCUCUGCUGUCCAGCACUAUGCACGGUGCAUAUCAGUUUCAGUUAAGGAUAUGUACGCCGACUGCCAGAAGGGUGAUCCUUCAACAGUAAUUUUUGUUGUCAACCGCGUCAACAUACCGAAGAGGAAGUAUGUAUCAUCAAGGAGUUAUGCCACCAACCCAUGGUUCGCAGGCCGGCCAGUCGUUCCAACAUCAACUACUACUGUUGAACUUCUUGAAUCCCACUUCCAAUCGCUGUCUGCACACCACCUUGCCAGGUUUGCAUAUAUUAUCAUUCUCCACUAUUUAAAUAAAUGGCAUGCUACACUGCAUCACCAUAAGAAAUUUACUGGUUAUGACUUUUUUUUCCAAGAACUGGAUAGUACACAAUGCUCCACAGUUCGUACGAGUUAGCGGGAAGGACAUCAUGGAUCAGCUAGUCGGCAAUGACAUGCUCGAUCAUGAACUAGGGUGUAACAUUUUGUGGCGGCAGAACCAGGUCGAUCUGGAGUCAAACCACGCUUUGCCAUAUCUGAAUCACCGUCACAUACUAGAGUUUGAUUUCUCGAUGCUCGCUCUAUAAGGCACAAGUAUUUCUGAUUUUCUAGAGAUUCAGAAUCAAUUAAUUGGGGCAAACGGUCCAGCCUGCAAUUGAGGC